AUGCACCUUGGAUAUCUCGUCCUCACUGUCUUCCUGGGGCAACUGCUGGGCACCACGGGGCAGAUCACCGUCACCCAGCAAGAAGGACAAGUCACAGUGAAGCAGGGAGACACCUUCCAAACAACCUGCACAUACCAGGCCCCUGACUUCAGAGGCUUGCUCUGGUACCAGCAGAGGAAAGGCCAAGGUCCCCAGCUGCUCUCGUUUCAGGCAGCAGCUGGCCGCAAGCCGAGCGGCCGUCUCACCACGUCGCUGAACACCACAGGGAAAUACAGCCUCCUGCAGCUGGAGGAAGUCGAGGUCUCUGACAGUGCCUUGUACCUCUGUGCUGUGCAAGACACCCUGGUGCAGGGAGCUUCCUUGGCUGUGCAAGAAGCCAGGGGAGGGCGGGCCUACCGCAUUUCUGAGCCUCUCCGCAGACUCUCUGGGAAUGAAGCAGCAUCCCCAGUAGAAGAAGAAAGGACUAAGGAGCUCUUACUACCAUUUGGACGUACACAAGUUCAUGGGAUCACUUGGGAUGCAUCCAAGGGUGUUCAAGGAGCUGACUGGACAGUCCCUGCUCAGCCUCUGGAAGGAAGAUGGAGCAAAUACUCUCAGAAGCCAUUCCUAAACUCAUGA